UCCUUAGAUGUCCUGGGCCGCACGCGUGCUACACUGAUGCAUACAGCGAGUACUCCCAGCUCCGCGAGGCUGCUGGUAAUCAGCAAUAUGCAUCGUGAUGGGGAUAGAUCUUUGGAAUUAUAGAUCUUGAACGAGGAAUUCCUAGUAAACGCAAGUCAUCACCUUGCGUUGACUAAGUCCCUGCCCUUUGUACACACCGCCCGUCGCUCCUACCGAUUUCGAGUGAUCCGGUGAAUCAUUCGGACCGCGUGGGCUUGACCUAACGUGGAAAGUCUAGUAAACCAUAUCACUUAGAGGAAGGAGAAGUCGUAACA
rnacentral:rRNA from 1 species